rnacentral:rRNA from 1 species
UACAGAGGUCUCAAGCGUUUGUUUCGGAUUCAUUGGGCGUAAAAGGGGUGCGUAGGCGGCGCGGUAAGUCGGGUGUGAAAAUUUCGGAGCUUAACUCCGAAACUGCAUUCGAUACUGCGGUGCUUUGAGGACUGGAGAGGAGACUGGAAUUCUUGGUGUAGCAGUGAAAUGCGUAGAUAUCAAGAGGAACACCAGUGGCGAAGGCGAGUCCCCUGGACAAACUUCUGACGCUGAGGCACGAAAGCUAGGGGAGCAAACAGGAUAGAUACCCCGA